CCUACGGGGGGCAGCAGUCGGGAAUUUUGGGCAAUGGGCGAAAGCCUGACCCAGCAACGCCGCGUGAAGGAUGAAGUAUUUCGGUAUGUAAACUUCGAAAGAAUGGGAAGAAUAAAUGACGGUACCAUUUAUAAGGUCCGGCUAACUACGUGCCAGCAGCCGCGGUAAUACGUAGGGACCAAGCGUUGUUCGGAUUUACUGGGCGUAAAGGGCGCGUAGGCGGCUUGACAAGUCACUUGUGAAAUCUCCGGGCUUAACUCGGAACGGCCAAGUGAAACUGUCAUGCUAGAGUGCAGAAGGGGCAAUCGGAAUUCUUGGUGUAGCGGUGAAAUGCGUAGAUAUCAAGAGGAACACCUGAGGUGAAGACGGGUUGCUGGGCUGACACUGACGCUGAGGCGCGAAAGCCAGGGGAGCAAACGGGAUUAGAUACCCCCGGUAGUCCUGGCCCUAAACGAUGAAUACUUGGUGUCUGGAGUAAAUAGUGCUCCGGGUGCCGUCGCUAACGUUUUUAGUAUUCCGCCUGGGGAGUACGCUCGCAAGAGUGAAACUCAAAUGAAUUGACGG
rnacentral:rRNA from 1 species